GCGAAUGUAGCUCAGUUGGUUAGAGCGCCUGACUGUGACUCAGGAGGUCGCCGGUUCGAUCCCGGUCAUUCGCCCCA
rnacentral:tRNA from 1 species